rnacentral:rRNA from 1 species
AUUGAACGCUGGCGGAAUGCUUUACACAUGCAAGUCGAACGGCAGCACGGGGCAACCUGGUGGCGAGUGGCGAACGGGUGAGUAAUAUAUCGGAACGUGCCCAAUCGUGGGGGAUAACGUAGCGAAAGUUACGCUAAUACCGCAUACGAUCUACGGAUGAAAGCGGGGGAUCGCAAGACCUCGCGCGAAUGGAGCGGCCGAUAUCAGAUUAGGUAGUUGGUGGGGUAAAGGCUCACCAAGCCAACGAUCUGUAGCUGGUCUGAGAGGACGACCAGCCACACUGGAACUGAGACACGGUCCAGACUCCUACGGGAGGCAGCAGUGGGGAAUUUUGGACAAUGGGCGCAAGCCUGAUCCAGCCAUUCCGCGUGCAGGAUGAAGGCCUUCGGUUGUAAGCU